GACAGGAUACUGAAACGUAUUAAACUACAGAACAGCCAGGGGAGGAGUAAUCUGAAAGGCAAAUGCCUGAGAUCUCCAUAGUCAACUUUAGCGACUUAUGGCAUAAAAUAAAGAUGGUCGGCUUGUACAAGUCGUGCAUAAACAUUUUCAUUAAUAUGAAAAACAUGUCAUUUUCAAUUAUUUGAAUAAAAAAAUAACAAGUUUUUACAAGCCAAAAGCUGUAUGCAGAAGACUCAAGUCAUAAAAUUGAAACCAGUGUCCCAUGCAUACCAUGUUGACCCUGGGAGUGGCAGGAUAAUAAUGCUAACUAAUUGCAUAUGUCGAUCAUUCUUGGCAAGAAAACUUCAUGUUCGUAUUUAAUUAUUGAGUAUUGCAGUUAAAAACAAGAUUAGCUGCAGGCUUUGAUUAUAAUAAUCUGGAAAGCCUAUUGCAGCUAUCUAUGCAUGGCACCUUCACUGGUUCUAACUUUUGACUUCGUAACUAAAGCCUU
rnacentral:misc_RNA from 1 species